CGGCGUCCGGAGGCUUUGUGGGGCUGCGCGGGUUGGAGGAACGCUGGCCGGACCUCCGGGACGUGCAGGCCGCCUGGUCCCGAGAGAAGAGGAGGACGGUCCGGCCCCAGGUGGACGCAGCCCCAGGUGGAUGCAGCUGAAUGAGGGACCCCAGCACCUGCAAUGGACCAACCUCCCAGAGUCCUGUGGGAGCGGCUGCCUCCAGAUCUUGCUUCUCCUUUGGUCACUGUCCAAAGAGCUGUGUGGAGAAAAUCACGAAGUAAACGGUCCAGCCCCUAGGCUUGGCCUGAGUCCCGAGGAAGUCAGCUGGGCUGGACGGCACGUGAGCCUCUGCUACAGACCAGAGUGACCCGGCUCGCCCAUAAAGAGCCAAGUGACACGAACUCAAACGCCAAGAGGCAAUAGAUCUAAGGAAUCUGCCUUUUCAUUGUUAUAAAAAAACAAACACCUGGGAAAAUGCUGCACACAAUGAAACAAUAUACUUUGUGGGAAACUCAUAAAGUCUUUACGAUGUUGCAUUUUGUGCUAUAGGGUUCCUGUGAUUUAUAAAGUGUCUCCAAUAAACUGA